rnacentral:rRNA from 1 species
UGAUCCCAUUCCGAACUCAGAAGUGAAACGAAAUAGCGCCGAUGGUAGUGUGGGGUUUCCCCAUGUGAGAGUAGGACAUCGCCAGGC